UAAUACGGAGGGUGCAAGCGUUAAUCGGAAUUACUGGGCGUAAAGGGUGCGUAGGUGGUUGGAUAAGUUAUCUGUGAAAGCCCCGGGCUCAACCUGGGAAGGUCAGAUAAGACUGUUCGACUCGAGUAUAGGAGAGGGUAGUGGAAUUUCCGGUGUAGCGGUGAAAUGCGUAGAGAUCGGAAGGAACACCAGUGGCGAAGGCGGCUACCUGGCCAGAUACUGACACUGAAGCACGAAAGCGUGGGGAGCAAACAGGAUUAGAUACCCUGGUAGUCCACGCCGUAAACGAUGUCAACUAGUUGUUGGUGAUAUGAAUAUCAUUAGUGACGAAGCUAACGCGAUAAGUUGACCGCCUGGGGAGUACGGUCGCAAGAUUA
rnacentral:rRNA from 1 species